GAUGAACGCUGGCGGCGUGCCUAAUACAUGCAAGUCGAGCGAACAGACGAGGAGCUUGCUCCUCUGACGUUAUCGGCGGACGGGUGAGUAACACGUGGAUAACCUACCUAUAAGACUGGGAUAACUUCGGGAAACCGGAGCUAAUACCGGAUAAUAUAUUGAACCGCAUGGUUCAAUAGUGAAAGACGGUUUUGCUGUCACUUAUAGAUGGAUCCGCGCCGCAUUAGCUAGUUGGUAAGGUAACGGCUUACCAAGGCGACGAUGCGUAGCCGACCUGAGAGGGUGAACGGCCACCCUGGAACUGAGACACGGUCCAGACUCCUACGGGAGGCAGCAGUAGGGAAUCCUCCGCAAUGGGGGAAAGCCUGACGGAGCAACGUCGCGUGAGUGAUGAAGGUCUUAGGACCGUAAAACUCUGUAAGUAGGGAAGAACAAAUGUGUAAGUAACUAUGCACGUCUUGACGGUACCUAAUCAGAAAGCCACGGCUAACUACGUG
rnacentral:rRNA from 1 species